rnacentral:rRNA from 1 species
AUACGGAGGGUGCAAGCGUUAAUCGGAAUUACUGGGCGUAAAGCGCGCGUAGGCGGUUUGGUAAGUCGGAUGUGAAAGCCCCGGGCUCAACCUGGGAAUUGCAUUCGAUACUGCCAGACUAGAGUAUGGUAGAGGGAAGUGGAAUUCCGGGUGUAGCGGUGAAAUGCGUAGAUAUCCGGAGGAACACCAGUGGCGAAGGCGACUUCCUGGACCAAUACUGACGCUGAGGUGCGAAGGCGUGGGGAGCAAACAGGAUUAGAUACCCUAGUAGUCC